rnacentral:lncRNA from 10 species
UUCCGCACGGUAACCGCGCUAGCACAAGGGCAGGGUCGUGCCUGUAGUUAAACACCCCUCCAUUUAUUAGCAGGGGAGCCGGAUGAUAGUAAGUAUUUUCAGUGUCGUCUUUGUGAUCACCACACGCCUUGGGGCAGGGGCAACGCUGGCAUCUGUAGUCCAAGCAGGGCUCCGCUGUAAAAGGUUAGCAAAGAGCCUUCCGUCCCAGUCGCCUGCUUUCUGGAACUGCAAAGAGAAGUUUCAGGCCUGGGCAAGGCUUCUCCACGCUGUGGGCCAGACAGCGAGAUGGAACCACUCGCGACCGCGUUGGGACAUGUUUUACCGAUUGCAGGCUGGCUCUGAAACCUGAAAACUCUUGACGAUGAGGAAUUAAGCCCGAACUGGAGAAGCACCUCACGGAGGUAGCUGAGGUACGGAUGCAUUCACCCAUUUUACAGAUGGGAAAAGCCAGAGACCGUGUGCAGCAAGCCUACAGAAAAAAUUGCUAAGCCUUUACAGAGCAGCCCUGCUUGGACUACAGAUGCUGGCGUUGGCGGUUCCUUAUAGUACAGGCAGCCACCUGUCUCCCCCAGUCCCUAAUCUCUUCCCCGAGCUGAAUUUCUCACACCCAUACAUUUCGAAUUCAGACAUUUGUUUCUGCAGAUCUCGGAUGCUAGCACUUGACACUGUGAGCGCACGCGCGGGCACACACGCACACAGUCUCCUAGGGAGUGUGAGGAACGUCGGGUUACUUCCGUUGUUGGGGAACUUUUACUGUGCAAGUACGGUUUUAAAAACAAGCAAACAAAUUAGCAUAGUAAAUAAUUGGUCUUCAAGUAGCAAAGUUACAAAAUAAACAAAUACAAAGAGAAACCCACGUUAUUGCCCCUAGUUCUGAGAUAUGUCUCCCUCUGCGGUCUCCGCUAGAAGCCCAGCCCGCUCUCGCCUUCGCCCCAGUCUCGUGCCUUCUGGAGCAUUAUUUUUCAAUCCGCGUGUUUCCCAGCUGGCUCUGCAGCCAUCCGUUAAAUAUGUAUUUAAAACAUGAAGAACUGAAGCGUGGUGUUAUGUCGUCCAACGGUUACAAGGAUGACCCAUAACCGUUCAAUUAGUAGAAUCUGUCACUCGGACGACGCAGGGAGCGGGGGGGUGGGGAUCAGAAAGGGCUCGGGCAUUUGUAGAUGCCUCCUUCGGGCCUACCCCGCCAACAGCAGCGAGGCCAUGUGUGGUGCGCGCUGUGGGGCCACCAGUCGGGGCGCGGAGUUGUGCGCCUGCCAGUGUAGCUAAUAAACACCAGCAGGCGCAACGUGCGCGCUCCUUGGUUGCAGCCGCUGAGUUCCUGCUCACAUUCAGGCUGCGUCUCGGCCUGGCUGCCAAACAGAACGACGUUCUUGCGCAGAGCUGACCAGGGGUGGCGGCGGGAGGCAAGGCUCCCGGCACCGGAAAGCAAAGCAAAGAAAAAGGCAUUGCAGCCAUCGCUCCUGGUCGUGAAUGACAGCGUUUGGCUACCAAACAUGUGCUACAUGACCCCUCAGAAGUCAGAACUCUGCAAACAAAUGGCGUGUCUUUCUCACAAAACAGCUCAUGGAGUCGUCCAGGGUCAGCACGGCUGGUCAGAACCGCGGCUCCCGGGACUGGUCCAGGACAGUUCACGCCGGGUGCGGAGGACAGGCCCUGGCACUUGGCAGGUGCUUGGUAAAUACUGCCGAAUGCACACACGUGCAGAUGUGCAUGCGGACUGAUGUGAAACAUGGUCCGUAAAAUACAUGUAAAUGUGGGCAAAGGUGUGUUAUGUGUUUUUUCGCUGUAUAUAAUAAACUGUGAGAGCUGUAAUCUGGAUCUUGGGGUAUAUGGGCACCUUUACAAUGAUUGGGGUGUUGACUUCCACCUAAUGACAACUGUGACCACUUGAAGGCAACCUAAAUUGUGCCAGGAGUUUCAGGUGUCUUGACAGACAUA